rnacentral:ncRNA from 1 species
UCUUAUUGAGAGUGGCUGAGGGACUGGCCCUGUGAAGCCCGGCAACCAUUCAUGUUUAACCUAAGCAUGAACAGGUGCUAAAUCCUGCAAAAUACAUUGUAUUUUGAAAAAUAAGA